GACGAACGCUGGCGGCGUGCUUAACACAUGCAAGUCGUACGGUAAGGCCCUUUCGGGGGUACACGAGUGGCGAACGGGUGAGUAACACGUGAGUAACCUACCCACAACUUUGGGAUAACGCUAGGAAACUGGUGCUAAUACUGGAUAUGUGCUCCUGCUGCAUGGUGGGGGUUGGAAAGCUCCGGCGGUUGUGGAUGGACUCGCGGCCUAUCAGCUUGUUGGUGGGGUAGUGGCCUACCAAGGCGGCGACGGGUAGCCGGCCUGAGAGGGUGACCGGCCACAUUGGGACUGAGAUACGGCCCAGACUCCUACGGGAGGCAGCAGUGGGGAAUAUUGCACAAUGGGCGCAAGCCUGAUGCAGCAACGCCGCGUGCGGGAUGACGGCCUUCGGGUUGUAAACCGCUUUCAGCAGGGACGAAGCUUUUUGUGACGGUACCUGCAGAAGAAGCACCGACUAACUACGUG
rnacentral:rRNA from 1 species